ACGGAAGGCAGCAGUGAGGAAUAUUGGUCAAUGGGCGGAAGCCUGAACCAGCCAAGUCGCGUGAAGGAUGAAGGUAUUAUGUAUUGUAAACUUCUUUAGCAGUGGAGUAAUAAGGGAGUCGUGACUCCUGAUGCAAGUACACUGAAAAUAAGGAUCGGCUAACUCCGUGCCAGCAGCCGCGGUAAUACGGAGGAUCCGAGCGUUAUCCGGAUUUAUUGGGUUUAAAGGGUGCGCAGGCGGCCUUGUAAGUCAGCGGUUAAAUCGUGGAGCUCAACUCCAUCCCGCCGUUGAUACUGCAGGGCUUGAUUGCGGUUGAGGUUGGCGGAAUUCGUCGUGUAGCGGUGAAAUGCAUAGAUAUGACGAAGAACCCCGAUUGCGUAGGCAGCUGACCGAGCCGUAAAUGACGCUCAUGCACGAAAGUGCGGGGAUCGAACAGGAUUAGAUACCCUGGUA
rnacentral:rRNA from 1 species